UUCAGGUGCCUAUAUCGGCGGUGUCUACCUCUUCCCAUUCCGAACAGAGUAGUCAAGCCCGCCAGAGCCGAUGGUAUUGCCGUAACAGGUGGGAGAGUAGGUCGGUGCCUAAUU
rnacentral:rRNA from 1 species